GACGAACGCUGGCGGCGUGCUUAACACAUGCAAGUCGAGCGGUAAGGCCCUUUCGGGGGUACACGAGCGGCGAACGGGUGAGUAACACGUGGGUGACCUGCCCUCAGCUCUGGGAUAAGCCUGGGAAACCGGGUCUAAUACUGGAUAUGACUCCAUGACGCAUGUUGUGGGGUGGAGAGCCUUGUGCGGCUGAGGAUGGGCCCGCGGCCUAUCAGCUUGUU
rnacentral:rRNA from 1 species